UCCCAAUUUUGUUUGAUUUGAAGCUUAGAAGGAGGUGAAGCAUUGGACCGAGGCAAAGAUUUAGCCGAGGUUUAGCUUGUGAGGAAGGGAAAUCAUUUUGUAGGCGGACUCCACAGCCAGCCUGUUGAGGUGGCGUGGUAGACCGGUUCAUUACUACGAGGGCCAGGUCAGGUUGGAGUGAAGAGUCCUGACUGGAUAUUCAUCGGGUAGCCGUUGUCACCAGGCGGUGAACCGAUGGGUCAACGUCAAAGGCAUGAGUACUUUGACGGCCCUAAACCUAGCUACGGCCGUGGUGAAUGUUUAGGGAGGUUUCUAGACCACUUUAUGCUAGGUGAGCGUUAGGUGUUGCGUUAUCCGAGUUGAAAACUAUUUUGAUUUACAUGUUUAUUGUGGAAGCUUUACUUCAGGAUGGGCUUAUUUCCUUUAUUCUGGAACUCUAUAUUCAGUAUUUUCACACUUUGAUUUUCUAAAAACCUAAUGACGGUAGAAUACCUUCUUAUUUCUAUCCUUCUUGCAAGUUUGCUAUUAUAUGCAUUCCAGCGGUUUAAACUAGUUAUUUUAUUUGUAAAGUAUUAUAUUUGUAGUUUUAUGUUAUUA